CGAUGCUUUUUUCUCCACAAAGACGCCGAUGUGUUCAAGAAAGUGGAAGGAAUUUCUAGGGUUGAAGAAGUUAUACCAAAACCGCAAUGUCAAGGACAUGAAAACGACAACCUCCCUCGCAUCUCUCUGGAUUCAGAGAAGGCCGUCAAUCUCUCUCGCAACCCGACCCAAAACAUCAACCCUCCCAGGGUCCGAUUGGUGAAACCAAGGGCACUGUCUUCCGAAAAUCCCGCCGGGAGAGUUUGCCGCAGCCCAGUGCAGAGAGCACCAGACGCCGCCACAAUCGGCGGAGUUUCCGCGAACAGUCCGUGGAUGAGCUCUUCAAGGAAGUUUUUCAAUUCCAUCACAGUCAGAUUUUGAGCAAUCAUUUGUAGAUGUUAAAUUGGAAGAACAUGCCCAAGAAGACUGAGAGUGAUAAAAGGGAUAUAGCGGUGAUUUUGGCGAAAGCUGGGGACUUUGUGAGUGAAAAGUGAUCGGAAGUGGUGAAGAUGGCCUUCAUGUUCACAGAAUGGAAGAGCAGGGCGCCGAAAAAGAGUGAGGUGGCGGUGAAGUUAGGACAGUGGUUUUGAUUCCUUGUCUGAAGAAGAAGGAAGAAGAUUCUUUAAAGGGAAAAAAGGAAAUCAAUACUUAUGUAUAGUGAAACUGCGGCAGAGCCAGAGAUUGUUGAUUUGUUGUGGUACGAAGUGGUUUGCCAUAUGGGAGGUUAUGAGUUCGAGCCUCAGUGGAGGCGAUACUGACUCUUUGUGCUCCAAUAGGUUGAGAAAGUAUGUUUGAACAAAUACUACAAUGUAAUAGAGUUAGUUGUAUUAAAAAAAAAGUGAUUUGUCAGAAUCCGAAGAAUGAUUGAGCUUCUUAUUAUUGACAAAAACAGAACAUAUUGUUAACGUGGAGAACCAGAAGACUAUUAUGAUUGUUUUGGUUGGGUAAUAAGGGAAAAGACUAUUAUGCCCUUACAUUUCACAGUUGAGACAAAAAAUCUUAACGAAAGGACUAUGGCAUGUCGAUUUCAAAAUUCAAAGGACCACGGAGGGUCGAUUUGAAAGUUUAGGACCAUAGAUGGCGGAACCACGAUACUCGAGGGACCUUGUGUAUUAACUCAACAACAACAACAACAACGGGCAUUUUAGACUAUAUACUACUUAUUCCCUAUCAAUUCCCAUGUAUACCAAACAUUAGAAUUGAAAUUCUCAGUAAUUUUAUCCCUGCAAA